CACAUUAAAUUGAUAUGGAGAUGAAACGGGGUGUGAGUGUGAUUAACAGCUGCAGAGCUGCACUCAACACAGCCUCUCUGUAAUGUUUAUGCAAAUCUGCAUCUCCUCUUGUAAUAUUAGCAGCGUUCUGAUCUAGAGAGGAAACACUUCUCAUUAGUCUUCCUUCAACACAAACAUGUUUGCUUCAGCUCCACUGCUGCUGCUGGCUCUCGCCCCCUAUGUGUUCUGUGCUACUGAGCUCAUCCAGCCAGACUCACUGCUUAUAAAGCCAGGAGAGACUUUAACCAUCACCUGUAAAGUGUCUGGAGCUUCUAUCACUGAUAGCAGCCACUAUGGAACAGCUUGGAUUCGGCAACCUGCAGGAAAAGCUUUAGAAUGGAUCAACAAUAUUUAUUAUGAUGGGAGUAUUCAAAAGAAAGAUUCACUUAAAGACAAGUUUGUGGUCUCUCGAGACACUUCCAGUAACUCUGUGACCUUACGGGGACAGAACAUGCAGACUGAAGACACAGCUGUGUAUUACUGCGCUCGUUAUCCACACAGUGACACAACAAGCUGCAGUGCUGCACAAAAACCUCAUCACAAUUCACUUCUUUAAUUAAAUAAUAACUAC